CCGCCCCCGCCGUUCCGCGAUCCCCGGGACCUUCCGUGGGUCUGUGGCGCUGGGAUGCCCGGUGGGAGCACGGAGAGACUAAAUAGUCUCGCUCUCCCUCCCUCAAAAGGUUUUCUCACCUUGAGGCAUGAAGCCUGGAAGACUGUUAGCGAAGGUCAAGCCAACGAAGGCAUGCAGACAGAAGCUAAGACCAGUAGUGAAGCUGUCUACAUGAAGCAUCUCUAUACAUAUGCUGCAUUUGCUCUUUGAAUUCCAGCUGUCAUCCUCCAGUCUUUUUCUAGAGAAAUUUUCUAAGAGCUGACUGCAAUGGUUUUGAGGAGACUGGAAGGUUUGUGGAGCUGGUGGGUUUUCAAGUCAAAAGAAGAGUGCUUAGGCCCCAUGGAAUCAGCAGUCUAACUGUGAGUUCAUCUGAAACUGGAGAGGUUUGCCACUUGCACAGGAGUUGUCCUUGGGCAUCUUCCACUUACUGCCACAAAUAAAAGUAAGUCAGGAAGAAAAACAGGAUUUGGUGUUGAGUGUUUUGCUUUCCAACUCAAAAAAUGUAGUGUUCAUUGACACAAUAGCAACAAACCCAAACCCACCAAUGAAGUUAAAGGUUAGUUAACAAAGUUUAAACACCAAGAAAAAGAUGGUGUUGGGGAUCCAGAAAGAACCUGACAAGCAUCGCUGCUGAACUACCCCAGUGAGGGGAGAAGGACUCAAUAUUCCCCACUGGGAGAAGAGGCAGAAGUCAGAUUCUGCAGCUGAGGGGAUGCUUUUUUCACUCCAGGUGAGGAAAGAGCUGGUUGCCUUCAUGGGGCUGCAUGGUAUUGUCCUUCUCUGUGUAUUCUUUACAAUUCUUUACAAUUUUGUGAAGAAUUGUAAUUUUUUUUUUACAAUUCUUUUACAAUUUCUUUACAAUUUUUUCUCAAGUUUCUUCUGUCUCUCUGCUAAAUGUUUCCUCACCUAUGCUUGGAGUGGGAACAGAGAAAGUCUCAAUGGAAGAUAAAGAUGUUCAGUUACUUGUCCUGAGGAGGCUUAGCUCCACUGGUCCUACUCCCUUCUCUUUCUGUGGCCGUGAGGUACUCGGCAGAAGAGUUACAGGUCUCGGUGACCCACGCUGCCUGUGGGGCUCACGUCCAUGUGCCCUCAAAGUAUAUG